rnacentral:rRNA from 1 species
UGGGGAAUAUUGCACAAUGGGCGCAAGCCUGAUGCAGCCAUGCCGCGUGUAUGAAGAAGGCCUUCGGGUUGUAAAGUACUUUCAGCGGGGAGGAAGGGAGUAAAGUUAAUACCUUUGCUCAUUGACGUUACCCGCAGAAGAAGCACCGGCUAACUCCGUGCCAGCAGCCGCGGUAAUACGGAGGGUGCAAGCGUUAAUCGGAAUUACUGGGCGUAAAGCGCACGCAGGCGGUUUGUUAAGUCAGAUGUGAAAUCCCCGGGCUUAACCCGGGAAUUGCAUCUGAUACUGGUCAGCUAGAGUCGUGUAGAGGGGGGUAGAAUUCCAUGUGUAGCGGUGAAAUGCGUAGAGAUGUGGAGGAAUACCGGUGGCGAAGGCGGCCCCCUGGACAAAGACUGACGCUCAGGUGCGAAAGCGUGGGGGGCAAACAGG